rnacentral:rRNA from 1 species
UACGUAGGAGGCAAGCGUUGUCCGGAAUUACUGGGCGUAAAGCGCGUGUAGGUGGUGGGACAAGUCUGCUGUGAAAGCGCCUGGCUUAACCGGGCGAGGUCGGCGGAAACUGUCCGACUAGAGGACGGUAGAGGGGGGUGGAAUUCCCGGUGUAGUGGUGAAAUGCGUAGAGAUCGGGAGGAACACCUGUGGCGAAGGCGGCCCCCUGGGCCGGCCCUGACACUGAGACGCGAAGGCGUGGGGAGCAAACAGG